rnacentral:rRNA from 1 species
AUUGAACGCUGGCGGCAGGCCUAACACAUGCAAGUCGAGCGGUAGAGAGAAGCUUGCUUCUCUUGAGAGCGGCGGACGGGUGAGUAAUACCUAGGAAUCUGCCUGAUAGUGGGGGAUAACGUUCGGAAACGGACGCUAAUACCGCAUACGUCCUACGAGAGAAAGCAGGGGACCUUCGGGCCUUGCGCUAUCAGAUGAGCCUAGGUCGGAUUAGCUAGUUGGUGAGGUAAUGGCUCACCAAGGCUACGAUCCGUAACUGGUCUGAGAGGAUGAUCAGUCACACUGGAACUGAGACACGGUCCAGACUCCUACGGGAGGCAGCAGUGGGGAAUAUUGGACAAUGGGCGAAAGCCUGAUCCAGCCAUGCCGCGUGUGUGAAGAAGGUCUUCGGAUUGUAAAGCACUUUAAGUUGGGAGGAAGGGCAUUAACCUAAUACGUUGGUGUCUUGACGUUACCGACAGAAUAAGCACCGGCUAACUCUGUGCCAGCAGCC